GUGGGGAAUAUUGGACAAUGGGCGAAAGCCUGAUCCAGCCAUGCCGCGUGUGUGAAGAAGGUCUUCGGAUUGUAAAGCACUUUAAGUUGGGAGGAAGGGCAGUAAGUUAAUACCUUGCUGUUUUGACGUUACCGAUAGAAUAAGCACCGGCUAACUUCGUGCCAGCAGCCGCGGUAAUACGAAGGGUGCAAGCGUUAAUCGGAAUUACUGGGCGUAAAGCGCGCGUAGGUGGUUUUGUAAGUUGGAGGUGAAAUCCCGGGGCUCAACCUGGGAACUGCCUCCAAAACUGCAUGACUAGAGUACGGUAGAGGGUAGUGGAAUUUCCUGUGUAGCGGUGAAAUGCGUAGAUAUAGGAAGGAACACCAGUGGCGAAGGCGACUACCUGGACUGAUACUGACACUGAGGUGCGAAAGCGUGGGGAGCAAACAGGAUUAGAUACCCGGGUAGUCC
rnacentral:rRNA from 1 species